rnacentral:rRNA from 1 species
AUGCCGCGUGCAGGAUGACUGCCCUAUGGGUUNNNACUGCUUUUAUACAGGAAGAAACAUCUCUACGUGUAGAGACUUGACGGUACUGUAAGAAUAAGGAUCGGCUAACUCCGUGCCAGCAGCCGCGGUAAUACGGAGGAUCCAAGCGUUAUCCGGAAUCAUUGGGUUUAAAGGGUCCGUAGGUGGAUAAUUAAGUCAGAGGUGAAAGUUUGCAGCUCAACUGUAAAAUUGCCUUUGAUACUGGUUAUCUUGAAUCAUUAUGAAGUAGUUAGAAUAUGUAGUGUAGCGGUGAAAUGCAUAGAUAUUACAUAGAAUACCAAUUGCGAAGGCAGAUUACUAAUAAUGUAUUGACACUGAUGGACGAAAGCGUGGGGAGCGAACAGGAUUAGAUACCCUGGUAGUCCACUGNNGCCUC